AGUGAACGCUGGCGGUAGGCCUAACACAUGCAAGUCGAACGGCAGCACAGUAAGAGCUUGCUCUUACGGGUGGCGAGUGGCGGACGGGUGAGGAAUACAUCGGAAUCUACUUUUUCGUGGGGGAUAACGUAGGGAAACUUACGCUAAUACCGCAUACGACCUACGGGUGAAAGCAGGGGAUCUUCGGACCUUGUGCGAUUGAAUGAGCCGAUGUCGGAUUAGCUAGUUGGCGGGGUAAAGGCCCACCAAGGCGACGAUCCGUAGCUGGUCUGAGAGGAUGAUCAGCCACACUGGAACUGAGACACGGUCCAGACUCCUACGGGAGGCAGCAGUGGGGAAUAUUGGGCAAUGGGGGCGAGCCUGAUCCAGCCAUACCGCGUGGGUGAAGAAGGCCUUCGGGUUGUAAAGCCCUUUUGUUGGGAGAGAAAAGCAGCAGGUUAAUACCCCGCUGUUCUGGCGGUACCCAAAGAAUAAGCACCGGCUAACUUCGUG
rnacentral:rRNA from 1 species